UGGGGAAUCUUGCGCAAUGGCCUAACGGCUGACGCAGCGACGCCGCGUGUGGGAUGAAGCUCUUCGGAGUGUAAACCACUGUUGCCCGGGACGAAUAGCUCGAUUAAUCGAGCCUGACGGUACCGGGUGAGGAAGCACCGGCUAACUCCGUGCCAGCAGCCGCGGUAAUACGGGGGGUGCGAGCGUUGUCCGGAAUCACUGGGCGUAAAGGGCGCGUAGGUGGUUUGAUAAGGGUGUGGUGAAAGUCCGGGGCUCAACCCCGGAUCGGCCGUGCCGACUGUCAAACUCGAGGGCUGUAGAGGCAGACGGAAUUCCGGGUGUAGCGGUGGAAUGCGUAGAGAUCCGGAGGAAGACCGGUGGCGAAGGCGGUCUGCUGGGCAGUUUCUGACACUGAUGCGCGACAGCGUGGGGAGCAAACAGGAUUAGAUACCCUGGUAGUCCACGCCGUAAACGAUGGGUACUAGGUGCCUGGGGGAGCGACCCUCUGGGUGCCGGCGCUAACGCAGGAAGUACCCCGCCUGGGGAGUACGACCGCAAGGUUGA
rnacentral:rRNA from 1 species